AACGAACGCUGGCGGCAUGCCUAACACAUGCAAGUCGAACGAGACCUUCGGGCCUAGUGGCGCACGGGUGCGUAACGCGUGGGAACCUGCCCUUAGGUUGGGAAUAACUCCCCGAAAGGGGUGCUAAUACCGGAUAAUGUCCUCGGACCAAAGAUUUGUCGCCUUUGGAUGGGCCCGCGUUGGGUUAGCUAGUUGGUAGGGUAAAAGCAUACCAAGGCGACGAUCCAUAGCUGGUCUGAGAGGAUGAGCAGCCACACUGGGACUGAGACACGGCCCAGACUCCUACGGGAGGCAGCAGUGGGGAAUAUUGGACAGUGGGCGAAAUCCAGAUCCAGCAAUGCCGCGUGAGUGAUGAAGGCCUUAGGGUUGUAAAGCUCUUUUACCCGUGAUGAUAAUGACAUUACCGGGAGAAUAAGCUCCGGCUAACUCCGUG
rnacentral:rRNA from 1 species